rnacentral:lncRNA from 1 species
GUGACUGUCAACUUGACUGGACUAGACUUGCCUAGGAGAGCGCUUAGGCCAUGUUAGUGAGCGAGUUUCUAUAUUCUGCUGACAGAGGUGGGAAAGACCCUAAUUGCAGGAGGCACAAUUUCUUGGGUUGGCAUCCCGGAUUGAAGGAGAAAGGGGAAAGCGAGUUGAGUAAUAGAAAUUCUUUCUGUUUCCUUCGGCCUCGUGCUUCUACUGCUCUGUCCUCUCUGCCCUAAUGGACCACACUUGCAAACUACAACAACAACAACAGCAGCAACAACAAAGCAGAGAAUUCCUUAAUUCUGUCAGGUCCUUUGCCACAGCAAUAAGAAAGGAAACACAGGCAGACGGCAGACAUGCGAGCCUGUGAGGUAGGUUCCUAACUUUCAUCCCUGUUAGCGCAAACGCCACUGUGUUAGGUCAACUCAGUUCCAAAUGAAGCUUAGAGCAAAUCCCGCAUGAAUUAGGGCAUCAGGCUGGACUGCAAAGCUCCCUGGAGGAGCAUGGGCUAAGUCAUGGGCAAGUAGACGCAGCGAUGAUCUGAGGAUGAGGGGCCACGGGAAAGAAGAGAACCCUGAGCGUGGCUGGGUAGGACAAGGAGCUGAUUUAGAAGUGGGGUGUGUGGGAGGGGGUAGGGGAGACAGAGAUGGGAGGUGCACGGGACUUAAGGGGGCUGGCUUCUAUUCCAAGGGCAAAGCUCAAAGGGUUCCCUUCAAUCAAGACUAUGGACGGAGAGGAGUCAGAGCAAGUGCUUAUGGCAGACAGACAAUGCACAUUGCGUCUGCAGCACCCCCCUCCACUCCUCGUCCCCCACAAAUGACCAGGAGAACAAUUUCUCUUAGGGUGACAAC